rnacentral:tRNA from 1 species
GCCACAAUAGCUCAGUUGGUAGAGCAUCUCAUUCGUAAUGAGAGGGUCGCAGGUUCGAGUCCUGUUUGUGGCUCCA